rnacentral:rRNA from 1 species
AUUGAACGCUGGCGGCAGGCUUAACACAUGCAAGUCGAACGGUAACAUAAAGAAGCUUGCUUCUUUGAUGACGAGUGGCGGACGGGUGAGUAAUGCUUGGGAAUCUAGCUUAUGGAGGGGGAUAACUACGGGAAACUGUAGCUAAUACCGCGUAGAAUCGAGAGAUGAAAGUGUGGGACCUUCGGGCCACAUGCCAUAGGAUGAGCCCAAGUGGGAUUAGGUAGUUGGUGAGGUAAAGGCUCACCAAGCCGACGAUCUCUAGCUGGUCUGAGAGGAUGACCAGCCACACUGGGACUGAGACACGGCCCAGACUCCUACGGGAGGCAGCAGUGGGGAAUAUUGCGCAAUGGGGGCAACCCUGACGCAGCCAUGCCGCGUGAAUGAAGAAGGCCUUCGGGUUGUAAAGUUCUUUCGGUAGCGAGGAAGGCAUUUAGUUUAAUAGACUAGGUGAUUGACGUUAACUACAGAAGAAGCACCGGCUAACUCCGUGCCAGCAGCCGCGGUAAUACGGAGGGUGCGAGCGUUAAUCGGAAUAACUGGGCGUAAAGGGCACGCAGGCGGUGACUCAAGUGAGGUGUGAAAGCCCCGGGCUUAACCUGGGAAUUGCAUUUCAUACUGGGUCGCUAGAGUACUUUAGGGAGGGGUAGAAUUCCACGUGUAGCGGUGAAAUGCGUAGAGAUGUGGAGGAAUACCGAAGGCGAAGGCAGCCCCUUGGGAAUGUACUGACGCUCAUGUGCGAAAGCGUGGGGAGCAAACAGG